UACGUAGGGACCAAGCGUUGUUCGGAAUUACUGGGCGUAAAGGGCGCGUAGGCGGCCUUCUAAGUCGAACGUGAAAUCCCCGGGCUCAACCCGGGAACUGCGUCCGAUACUGGAAGGCUUGAAUCCGGGAGAGGGAUGCGGAAUUCCAGGUGUAGCGGUGAAAUGCGUAGAUAUCUGGAGGAACACCGGUGGCGAAGGCGGCAUCCUGGACCGGCAUUGACGCUGAGGCGCGAAAGCCAGGGGAGCAAACGGG
rnacentral:rRNA from 1 species